rnacentral:rRNA from 1 species
GACGUAGGGUGCGAGCGUUGUCCGGAUUUAUUGGGCGUAAAGCGCACGCAGGCGGCGCAACAAGUCUGACGUGAAAUCUCCCGGCUUAACUGGGAGCGGUCGUUGGAAACUGUUGUGCUUGAGGCGAUGAGAGGGUCGCGGAAUUCCCGGUGUAGAGGUGAAAUUCGUAGAUAUCGGGAGGAACACCGGUGGCGAAGGCGGCGACCUGGGUAGAUACUGACGCUGAGGCGCGAAAGCGUGGGGAGCAAACAGG